CGUCACACACUGUACAGGGUGUUGUCAAUGUGCAAAUCAUUACUCACUAUCCUAGCUCAAAACAAUUCUUAUCUUUGAUGGUUCACUAUAAAUAGAUAGACACUCCCGCACCUUAAAAUGUCCGCCAUUGUAGUAUCCUUGGCUACUUCCAUUUCUUCUUUUCUUGUUCCUUCUGCUUCUUCUUUUUCUUCUUCUUCUUUUUCUUUUUAGGGUUUUCUCUGCCGAGCCUCAUCAGAAUUGAGGGGGAAGAACAAAAUAUGUGGAUGGUGAAAAUAGGUUUGGAAUGAAGAUGUGGAAACCGACUCACAAUAGGAAUUUGCUUAUGGAUUUGAAAUCGCGGGAAUCCCAGAUGAGUUUUUUCAUAUUUGUAUGCCGAUUCCGAUUUCAAUCGGCAUUCGAUUCCUAUUCGGUGGCCUGUGAGGCUUUUUCUGAACAGAGACAACGUCACUUUUGUUCACCCUCGUCUCCGAUUAGUGUUACAUUCAAACUGCUUUGAUAGGGAU
rnacentral:misc_RNA from 1 species